UACGUAGGGUGCAAGCGUUGUCCGGAAUUAUUGGGCGUAAAGAGCUCGUAGGCGGUUUGUCGCGUCGGAUGUGAAAACCCGGGGCUCAACCCCGGGCCUGCAUUCGAUACGGGCAGACUAGAGUUCGGUAGGGGAGUCUGGAAUUCCUGGUGUAGCGGUGAAAUGCGCAGAUAUCAGGAGGAACACCGGUGGCGAAGGCGGGUCUCUGGGCCGAUACUGACGCUGAGGAGCGAAAGCGUGGGGAGCGAACAGG
rnacentral:rRNA from 1 species